GCCUGGGUGGCUCAGUCGGUUGAGCAUCCAACUUCGGCUCAGGUCAUGAUCUCGCAGUCCGUGGGUUCGAGCCCCGCAUCGGGCU
rnacentral:tRNA from 1 species